rfam:Postia placenta Mad-698-R POSPLscaffold_4_Cont393, whole genome shotgun sequence.
GGCAAGAUGGCCGAGCGGUCUAAGGCGCUGGAAUCAGGAACUUGUUCUAUCCAGUCCGAAAGGGCGUGGGUUCAAAUCCCACUCUUGUCA